rnacentral:rRNA from 1 species
UGCCAGACUCCUACGGGAGGCAGCAGUAGGGAAUCAUUCACAAUGGGCGAAAGCCUGAUGGAGCAACGCCGCGUGCAGGAUGAAGGAAUUCGGGUUGUAUACUGCUUUUAUAAGCGAGAAAUAUGAUGGUAACUUAUGAAUAAGGAUCGGCUAACUACGUGACAGCAGCCGCGGGCAUACGUAGGAUCCGAGCAUUAUCCGGAGUGACUGUGUGUAAAGAGUUGCGUAGGUGGCAUAGUAAGUAGCUAGUGAAAUCUGGUGGCUCAACCAUUCAGACUAUUAGCUAAACUGCUAAGCUCGAGACCGUUAGGGGUACCUUGAAUUUCUAGUGUCGGUGUGAAAUCCGUAGAUAUUAGAAGGAACACCGAUAGCGUAGGCAGGUUACUGGGACGGUUCUGACACUAAGGCACGAAAGCGUAGGGAGCACACGGUAUUAGAUACCCGCGUAU